AACCUUCACUGGGGGUGCCGAUGCGGCUGAGAGAAGCGAUUCGCUUUAACCCUUACUACCUGAUCCGGAUAAUGCCGGCGAAGGGAAGUGGUAUGCAAUUGCU
rnacentral:ncRNA from 2 species